GAUGAACGCUGGCGGCGUGCCUAAUACAUGCAAGUCGAGCGAACAGACGAGGAGCUUGCUCCUCUGACGUUAGCGGCGGACGGGUGAGUAACACGUGGAUAACCUACCUAUAAGACUGGGAUAACUUCGGGAAACCGGAGCUAAUACCGGAUAAUAUAUUGAACCGCAUGGUUCAAUAGUUAAAGACGGUUUUGCUGUCACUUAUAGAUGGCUCCGCGCCGCAUUAGCUAGUUGGUAAGGUAACGGCUUACCAAGGCAACGAUGCGUAGCCGACCUGAGAGGGUGAUCGGCCACACUGGAACUGAGACACGGUCCAGACUCCUACGGGAGGCAGCAGUAGGGAAUCUUCCGCAAUGGGCGAAAGCCUGACGGAGCAACGCCGCGUGAGUGAUGAAGGUCUUCGGAUCGUAAAACUCUGUUAUUAGGGAAGAACAAAUGUGUAAGUAACUAUGCACGUCUUGACGGUACCUAAUCAGAAAGCCACGGCUAACUACGUG
rnacentral:rRNA from 1 species